CGUAGGGCGCGAGCGUUGUCCGGAUUUAUUGGGCGUAAAGAGCUCGUAGGCGGCUCAUUGCGUCAACCGUGAAAACUUGUGGCUCAACUACAAGCUUGCGGUUGAUACGGGUGGGCUGGAGUUCGGUAGGGGAGACUGGAAUUCCUGGUGUAGCGGUGAAAUGCGCAGAUAUCAGGAGGAACACCGGUGGCGAAGGCGGGUCUCUGGGCCGAUACUGACGCUGAGGAGCGAAAGCGUGGGGAGCGAACAGGAUUAGAUACCCUGGUAGUCCACGCUGUAAACGUUGGGCGCUAGGUGUGGGGGGCCUCUCCGGUUUCCUGCGCCGUAGCUAACGCAUUAAGCGCCCCGCCUGGGGAGUACGGCCGCAAGGCUA
rnacentral:rRNA from 1 species